GCUAUGAUGAACAAAGUGGAGAUGAUCUAAUAAUGAAAUUAAUCUUUCUCUAAGAAGUUCUGAGCUG